UACGUAGGUGGCAAGCGUUGUCCGGAUUUACUGGGCGUAAAGGGCGUGCAGGCGGUCUGUUAAGUGCAGGGUGAAAGCUCCCGGCUCAACUGGGAGAGGUCCUUGCAUACUGGCGGACUUGAGGGGGGUAGAGGAAAGUGGAAUUCCCGGUGUAGUGGUGAUAUGCGUAGAUAUCGGGAGGAACACCUGUGGCGAAGGCGGCUUUCUGGGCCCUACCUGACGCUGAGGAACGAAAGCGUGGGGAGCAAACGGG
rnacentral:rRNA from 1 species